ACACAUGCAAGUCGAACGAGCAAAUACAUUUGAUUUCUUCGGAAUGAAGAUGUAGGCGCGAGUGGCGGACGGGUGAGUAACGCGUGAGUAAUCUGCCUCAUACAGGAGAAUAACACUAAGAAAUUGGUGCUAAUACUCCAUAAGCUCACAUUAUGACAUCAUAGAGUGAGAAAAGAUUUAUCGGUAUGAGAGGAGCUCGCGUCUGAUUAGCUAGUUGGUGGGGUAACGGCCUACCAAGGCGACGAUCAGUAGCCGACCUGAGAGGGUGAUCGGCCACAUUGGAACUGAGACACGGUCCAAACUCCUACGGGAGGCAGCAGUGGGGAAUAUUGCACAAUGGGGGAAACCCUGAUGCAGCAACGCCGCGUGAAGGGAGAAGUAUUUCGGUAUGUAAACUUCUAUCGACAGGGAAGAAACAAAUGACGGUACCUGAAUAAGAAGCACCGGCUAAAUACGUGCCAGCAGCCGCGGUAAUACGUAUGGUGCAAGCGUUAUCCGGAUUUACUGGGUGUAAAGGGUGAGUAGGCGGUCAUGCAAGUCAUAUGUGAAAUGUCAGGGCUUAACCUUGGCGCUGCAUAAGAAACUGUAUGACUAGAGUGCAGGAGAGGUAAGCGGAAUUCCUAGUGUAGCGGUGAAAUGCGUAGAUAUUAGGAAGAACACCGGUGGCGAAGGCGGCUUACUGGACUGUUACUGACGCUGAGUCACGAAAGCGUGGGGAGCAAACAGGAUUAGAUACCCUGGUAGUCCACGCCGUAAACGAUGAGUGCUAGGUGUUGGCCAGAGAUGGUCGGUGCCGCAGCAAACGCAAUAAGCACUCCACCUGGGGAGUACGACCGCAAGGUUGAA
rnacentral:rRNA from 1 species